rnacentral:tRNA from 1 species
GGGGCAGUCGUCUAGCUUGGUCUAGGAUACCAGCCUGGGGCGCUGGUGGUCACGGGUUCAAAAUGAACCCUAAAAGAGGGUUCAGGAAAAUCCCGUCUGCCCCACCA